AGGAAACACACACACAUGGAACAGCCGAUUACACUGUUGUCAGGCUAUUAAAUAGGCGUUAUCAGACCCUGUAAGCCCCAUACAUGUGGGUCAGAAGGGACCUACUACACUCAUUAGUAGGUUUUAUCAUCUAUUCACAUGGUAGAUCACCGAAAGAAGAAGACGACAGUGACCUCUAGCGACCGUAGUAAUUAUGACAGGAGCAGAAAAGGAAGUCAGACACUGUAGUAUUGACAGGGUGAAACCAACUUUGUGUUUGUAGUAUAUGAGCCCAAAACAGAGUGUUUUCCCCUAAACUUAAUUGUGUUUUUUUUGUUUCCUA